rnacentral:rRNA from 1 species
AUGUGUUCCUUCUGCCAGCAAGUUCAAACCUCUCAGCAUUUGUUCUUUGAUUGUCCUGUUGCCAGGGUUGUGUGGCGAUCUAUUGGAGUGACACUCGGGACUGACCUUUGUCCUAGAAACCAAUGGCAGUUCUUUGUGUGGUGCUACUCCUUCCUGCCCGGAUAUGAGUCUUUUUAUAUUGUGGCCUUGGGUGCGGUUACUUGGUCCAUCUGGCUGGCACGAAACAGUGCUACUUUUGAGAAGAAGAUGAUCAAAACUCCUUUCGAGAUUGUUUUUAGGGCGGCUUCCUUUCUUAUUUAUUGGGCAGGUCUUCAGGGCGGGGACGACGUCAAGCAACUUCGAGCAGGGGUGGAGAUGAUUCGCAAUGGGACUCUGAUGCUGAUGAGGACCUGUGAUGCGACUGUCAAGAUCGGAGAUUCGAGCUGA